UUACUAACAAGGAAGUUAGUGCCUUUUAUGCUUGCUGUUCUUGCUAUUCAGAAAAAAAGUGAAACUAGAAUCUAUAUCAAUCUGCAUUCAUCCUUGGUAGCUUUCUUCGAAUAGAUCACUGCCUCUGGAUGUGAAUGAGUGUGAGACCCUGCAAUGGACUGGCAUCCCAUCCGGAUUGAAUUUUCCUGCCUUGUGUCCAACUAUGCUGGCCUGGAGAGUCGUUGCUCCCAGCAUCAAAUCUCGGUGCCUCAGUCCGCAAGAUUGUCAUAGCGAUACACAGCGCCAUGGAGACAGCCUUGAUCAGGUCCCAGACAGAGUCAACAAUUCGCAGGUGUCUAUGGAAAUGGGGGAAGGAACGCAUGAGCGUCUCGCCGCAGUGCUCUUCCA